GAUGAACGCUGGCUACAGGCUUAACACAUGCAAGUCGAGGGGAAACGACGGGGAAGCUUGCUUCCCCGGGCGUCGACCGGCGCACGGGUGAGUAACGCGUAUCCAACCUGCCUCUGACUGAGGGAUAACCCGUCGAAAGUCGGCCUAAUACCUCAUGGCAUCGUCUGCGGGCAUCCAACGACGAUUAAAGAUUUCAUCGGUCAGGGAUGGGGAUGCGUCUGAUUAGCUAGUUGGCGGGGUAACGGCCCACCAAGGCGACGAUCAGUAGGGGUUCUGAGAGGAAGGUCCCCCACAUUGGAACUGAGACACGGUCCAAACUCCUACGGGAGGCAGCAGUGAGGAAUAUUGGUCAAUAGGCGAGAGCCUGAACCAGCCAAGUAGCGUGCAGGAUGACGGCCCUAUGGGUUGUAAACUGCUUUUAGGCGGGGAUAAAGUGAGGGACGUGUCCUUCAUUGCAGGUACCGCAUGAAUAAGGACCGGCUAAUUCCGUG
rnacentral:rRNA from 1 species